rnacentral:rRNA from 1 species
CCCUUAGAUGUUCUGGGCCGCACGCGCACUACACUGAUGCAUUCAACGAGUCUAAAACCUGCUCUGAUAGGGGUGGGUAAUCUUUUGAAUGUGCAUCGUGAUUGGGAUAGAUGAUUGCAAUUUUUCAUCUUCAACGAGGAAUGCCUAGUAAACGCGAGUCAUCAGCUUGCAUUGAUUACGUCCCUGCCCUUUGUACACACCGCCCGUCGCUCCUACCGAUUGAAUGAUCCGAUGAAUAUCAUGGAUUGAGGAUUAUAGCAGGUUCGCCUGUCUUGAUCUUCGAGAAGUGAAGUAAAUCUUAUCAUUUAGAGGAAGGAGAAGUCGUAACA